AUUGCCCCAGUAACGGCGAGUGAAGCGGCAACAGCUCAAAUUUGAAAUCUGGCCCCUAGGGCCCGAGUUGUAAUUUGCAGAGGAUGCUUUUGGCAAGGCGCCGCCCGAGUUCCCUGGAACGGGACGCCGCAGAGGGUGAGAGCCCCGUCUGGCUGGACGCCGAGCCUUUGUAAAGCUCCUUCGACGAGUCGAGUAGUUUGGGAAUGCUGCUCUAAAUGGGAGGUAUAUGUCUUCUAAAGCUAAAUAUUGGCCAGAGACCGAUAGCGCACAAGUAGAGUGAUCGAAAGAUGAAAAGCACUUUGAAAAGAGGGUUAAACAGUACGUGAAAUUGUUGAAAGGGAAGCGCUCAUGACCAGACUUGGGCUUGGCGGAUCAUCCGGCGUUCUCGCCGGUGCACUUCGCCUCGCCCAGGCCAGCAUCAGUUCGCCCCGGGGGACAAAAGCUUCGGGAAUGUGGCUCCUCCGGGAGUGUUAUAGCCCGUUGCACAAUACCCUGGGGCGGACUGAGGUUCGCGCGUCCGCAAGGAUGCUGGCGUAAUGGUCAUCAGCGACCCGUCUUGAAACACGGACCAAGGAGUCGUCCUCGUAUGCGAGUGUUCGGGUGUCAAACCCCUACGCGUAAUGAAAGUGAACGCAGGUGAGAGCUUCGGCGCAUCAUCGACCGAUCCUGAUGUUCUCGGAUGGAUUUGAGUAAGAGCAUACGGGGCCGGACCCGAAAGAAGGUGAACUAUGCCUGUAUAGGGUGAAGCCAGAGGAAACUCUGGUGGAGGCUCGCAGCGGUUCUGACGUGCAAAUCGAUCGUCAAAUAUGGGCAUGGGGGCGAAAGACUAAUCG
rnacentral:rRNA from 1 species